UAGCUCAAUCGGUAGAGCGUGAGAAUUCUUGACCUCAAGAUUGCGGGUUUGACUCCCGC
rnacentral:tRNA from 1 species